AGCUGAUGCAUACGGCGACGGCUUUUUGAGUCUCGCUGCAGCAGCUGUUCCCCUCUGGAGGUUUUACCUUCACACCUAACAAGGGCCCCGUUUGGAGGCCCUUUUUU
rfam:Martelella sp. AD-3, complete genome.